rnacentral:lncRNA from 1 species
UUCUAUUAAUUUAACUUGUUUUAAGAAUUAAAUUAAUGGAGCUCAGAGCCUAUAAAUACUAUACAUCUACUCCCCCUUUUGUCAACAACAAAAAGAUAAAAUAUAGACAAAAAGAAGAGAUAAGAAAAAACAUAGCGAGAAAAUUUCAAAAUAAGGUCAGAAGCAAAAUAACAUAGUUAGAAGCAUAAACAUCCAGAAGCAAAAACAUUUAAACAAAAGAAGAGAUAAACAAGCAAAAAGAAAAAAAAAGUGCAACUAAGACUUUGCUUGUUUUUGAACCAUAUACAUUAGGUCUCUUAUCAAACUGUUUAUUGUUUCUGAUUGCUUCUUCAUGUCUUCCUUGAAAUCAUUGAAAUCAUUGUAACUCUUGAUAAGCUAUGCUUCUCUGACCCUUGCUUCUUCCUGUUGAGCAAUCAUUUUCCUUUGAAGUUCAAUAGAAAAUAACCUUUGCUCUAACAAUGCUUUCUUCAAGUCUUUGAUUCCUUUCUAUAUACCAGAAUCACCUUUGAGCUUCUCUAGGAUAAGAGCAUCAGCUUGGAUCUUCAGUUUUGUCAACCAUCUGAGAUCCAGAUCCUCAGAGUGUACACCUGAAGUGAUUAUCCCAUAAGCAUCCAUGAAGAUAGGAGUUUUGAUAAGUACAAUCUGCUCUUCUCCUUAUUUCUGUUGAUCUCUACAUGCUCCAUAUUCUUGACCACUUCUGAAAACCAGUCAUUGAUAGUGCUCAGAACUUUAUCAUGUGCUUCCAAUGAAGUCUUCUGAAGUUCACACAUGACACUGUCUACUCUGUUUCUCAGCUUUGUCCAUUCAUCUAUGAUGAGUCAUUAUUAUAUCUAUUUUAUCCAUAAAUUUAGUAUUGUUUUAUUUAGAUUUUAGUUAUAUUUAUAUUUAUAAUAUUUCCUUUUUGAAUUAUAUUACUACAAUUGCAUAUUUUAUAUUUCAGGAAUAAAUAUUGGAUGGAUUGAGUCUUGGAGCAAAAGAAAGAGGAUUGGAGCUGAUUUGGUGCAGAAAUACGAAGAUUCGGAAGACAAAAUAUGUCUCCCCCAAGUCAGAACCUUGGCACGGCCCGUGCUAGGCUUGGCACGGCCGUGCCACCUUCCAAUGCCUCUUUUGCUGCUUUUGCUUAGAUUUUAAGCUACUCUAUUUUAGUUUACCGGAAUGCCCUUUUAUGGUUGCUUAGAUUUUAAGUCGAAUGUAAACUAUAAAUAGAGUAGCUAGCCAUCACAAAUAUUCAUCUUUUCUUGGAAUNNN